rnacentral:rRNA from 1 species
UGGAAUAGGACCCUGUCCUCCUAUUUUCAGUUGGUUUUGGCAGCGCGAGGACUAGGGUAAUGAUUAAUAGGGAUAGUUGGGGGCAUUAAUAUUUAAUUGUCAGAGGUGAAAUUCUUGGAUUUAUGAAAGAUUAACUUCUGCGAAAGCAUCUGCCAAGGAUGUUUUCAUUAAUCAAGAACGAAAGUUAGGGGAUCGAAGACGAUCAGAUACCGUCGUAGUCUUAACCAUAAACGAUGCCGACCAGCGAUUAGGAGACGUUGAAUACAAAACACCACCAUCGGCGCGGUCGUCCUUGGCGUCGGUCCUUCGGGG